GUGAGACAGUUUGGUCCCUAUCUUCCGUGGGCGCUGCAAGAUUGAGAGAGCCUGCUCCUAGUACGAGAGGACCGGAGUGGACGCACCUCUGGUGCAUCGGUUGUCACGCCAGUGGCAUAGCCGAGUAGCUAAGUGCGGAAGAGAUAACCGCUGAAAGCAUCUAAGCGGGAAACUCGUCUCAAGAUGAGUCUUGCCGGGGCCUUGAGCCCCCUGAAGAGUCGUUCGAGACCAGGACGUUGAUAGGCUGGGUGUGGAAGCGCAGUAAUGCGUUAAGCUGACCAGUACUAAUUGCUCGUGAGGCUUGACCCU
rnacentral:rRNA from 1 species